CUGGAUGUCCACCGUAUCACUGUUAAGAACGUUUCUGGCUACCCAAUAUCCUGACUUAACAUUGUACAUCACAUUCUUAGUAUAGCUCCAACAAUACUUAUCUCGAUGAUAUCCUUAGCUUAUGGCCAACGAUUGAUCAGUGAGAUAUUCUCCGGACUGACAUAGUUUUCAAGCAUCGCCGAGUUCCAUCUCUUUGGGUUCCCUAUCAUCAACUAUGUCUUAUUUU
rnacentral:lncRNA from 1 species